GACGAACGCUGACGGCGUGCCUAAUACAUGCAAGUAGAACGCUGAAGGAGGAGCUUGCUCUUCUGGAUGAGUUGCGAACGGGUGAGUAACGCGUAGGUAACCUGCCUGGUAGCGGGGGAUAACUAUUGGAAACGAUAGCUAAUACCGCAUAAGAGUAGAUGUUGCAUGACAUUUACUUAAAAGGUGCAAUUGCAUCACUACCAGAUGGACCUGCGUUGUAUUAGCUAGUUGGUGGGGUAACGGCUUACCAAGGCGACGAUACAUAGCCGACCUGAGAGGGUGAUCGGCCACACUGGGACUGAGACACGGCCCAGACUCCUACGGGAGGCAGCAGUAGGGAAUCUUCGGCAAUGGACGGAAGUCUGACCGAGCAACGCCGCGUGAGUGAAGAAGGUUUUCGGAUCGUAAAGCUCUGUUGUAAGAGAAGAACGAGUGUGAGAGUGGAAAGUUCACACUGUGACGGUAUCUUACCAGAAAGGGACGGCUAACUACGUG
rnacentral:rRNA from 1 species